UGGGAAUCUUGCGCAAUGGGCGAAAGCCUGACGCAGCCAUGCCGCGUGAGUGAUGAAGGCCUUAGGGUUGUAAAACUCUUUCACCGGGGACGAUAAUGACGGUACCCGGAGAAGAAGCCCCGGCUAACUUCGUGCCAGCAGCCGCGGUAAUACGAAGGGGGCUAGCGUUGCUCGGAAUUACUGGGCGUAAAGGGCGCGUAGGCGGAUCAGCAAGUUGGGGGUGAAAGCCCGGGGCUCAACCUCGGAAUUGCCUUCAAAACUGCUGAUCUAGAGUACGGGAGAGGUGUGUGGAACUCCGAGUGUAGAGGUGAAAUUCGUAGAUAUUCGGAAGAACACCAGUGGCGAAGGCGACACACUGCCCGUUACUGACGCUGAGGCGCGAAAGCGUGGGGAGCAAACAGGAUUAGAUACCCUGGUAGUCCACGCUGUAAACGAUGAUUGCUAGUUGUCGGCAGGCAUGCCUGUCGGUGACGCAGCUAACGCAUUAAGCAAUCCGCCUGGGGAGUACGGUCGCAAGAUUAAAACUUAAAUGAAUUGACGGGGUCAUAGCUG
rnacentral:rRNA from 1 species